rnacentral:tRNA from 1 species
GGAGGAUAUAGCUCAGUGGUAAGAGCGUGUGCUUAGCAUGCACGAGGUCCUGGGUUCAAUCCCCAGUACCUCCA